UUCUCCAAGCAAUCUUAAUCAUUCUUUAAGGCCUGCUUCCAUGUGAAUCAUCUUCUUCUCUUUUGUUUCUGCAGAAAAUUGCGGCGAUUCAUGGUUGGAGGAGCGAAUACUUAAAGGGCACAAUGGAUUCAAGCGAAGCAAAGGACACACCAUCUUGUGGCUGUAUAUAGAUCCAAGUUGAUUUGUAGGUUUUUGAAAAAAAAUACGAAAUUUUGUUUUAGUUGUGUAAAUAUAUAAAUAGGAGUGCCAAAGAGUUUUGGCAUGAAUUGCUUGGCUACGACCAUAAUCAUCACCUGCAAGCCCACAUUGAUCUCGGAUAUGGCCGUGGCUAUUGAUCCUUUCAGUGACAAGUUCCCUUACUUUAACCGAUCCUCUCAAAGAUGC
rnacentral:lncRNA from 1 species